rnacentral:rRNA from 1 species
UACGUAGGGUGCAAGCGUAAUCGGAAUUACUGGGCGUAAAGCGUGCGCAGGCGGUUUUGUAAGUCUGUCGUGAAAUCCCCGGGCUCAACCUGGGAAUUGCGAUGGAGACUGCAAGGCUAGAAUCUGGCAGAGGGGGGUAGAAUUCCACGUGUAGCAGUGAAAUGCGUGAGAGAUGUGGAGGAACACCGAUGGCGAAGGCAGCCCCCUGGGUCA